GAAGGGACCUAGCGUAGUUCGGAAUUACUGGGCUUAAAGAGUUCGUAGGUGGUUGAAAAAGUUGGUGGUGAAAUCCCAGAGCUUAACUCUGGAACUGCCAUCAAAACUUUUCAGCUAGAGUAUGAUAGAGGAAAGCAGAAUUUCUAGUGUAGAGGUGAAAUUCGUAGAUAUUAGAAAGAAUACCAAUUGCGAAGGCAGCUUUCUGGAUCAUUACUGACACUGAGG
rnacentral:rRNA from 1 species